UGUAAUUCUGUUUUGGUGACAGGUGGCCCGGCGCUGGGGCAUUCAGAAAAACAGGCCAGCUAUGAACUAUGAUAAACUUAGCCGUUCACUCCGCUAUUAUUACGAGAAGGGAAUCAUGCAAAAGGUGGCUGGAGAGAGAUAUGUCUACAAAUUUGUGUGUGAUCCAGAAGCCCUUUUCUCCAUGGCCUUUCCAGAUAAUCAGCGCCCGCUGCUGAAGACAGAUAUGGAACGUCACAUCAACGAGGAGGACACGGUGCCUCUGUCUCACUUUGAUGAGAGCAUGGCCUACAUGCCAGAAGGGGGCUGCUGCAACCCCCACCCCUACAACGAAGGCUAUGUAUAUUAACACAAGUGACAGUCAAGCAGGGUGUGCUCGUGCUUUUCCUCUUUCUGCAAGAUACGGAGUAUCUCUGAUUCUCUUCAAUCUUUAUUUUAUUUUUGUUGUUUGUAUUUUAUUUUUAAAUAAUAAUACACAAAAAGGGGCUUUUCCUGUUGCAUUAUUCUGUGGUCUGCCAUGGACUGUGCACUUUAUUUGAGGGUGGGUGGGAGUAAUCUAAACAUUUAUUCUAUGUAGCAGGAAGAUAAUGGGUGAAUGGGCAGAGGGAUUUGGGGAUUACUUUUUACUUAGGCUUGUGAUGGGGUCCUACAGGUUUUAAGUAUGAUGAAGCUAUAUCAUGUCUAUUUGAUUUCAUAACAACAUAAGAUAAUGUUCAUUUUCUCUGGGUGUCUAUGGUACAGUUAAUUUCACAUUGUGUAAAUAUCCACUUGGAGACUAUUUGCCUUGGGCAUUUCCCCCCGUCAUUUCUGAGUCUCUGCAGGUGUACAAAAAACCCAAUCUACUGUAAAUGGAAGUUUAAUUGUUAGAAAUGACUGUUUUUUGCACCUCUUGUAAAAAGAUAUUUAGCGAUUGCAUUUGCUGGUUUUUGUUUUGUUUUGCUUUAUAUAUGACUUGCAGGGGAUAACCAUAAAAUGAGUAAUUCUCUCUGAAGUUGAGUAAUCACUAUAACUGUAAAUGAGGGGCACAGUUUUGGACUCUGGCUACCAACUGAGUCACAGGCCAGUAGCAUUACACGUAUCUGGUGCCACCUUGUUGUUUAGAUACAGAUCAUAUUGUCUUUUAAAUAUUUUGAAACCCAUUUCAGUUAAAUAAUGACAUGUCAUGGUCCUUUGGAAUUUUCACUUAAAUGUUAAAUCUGGGAUCACGAUGAAGCAAAAAAAAAAAUCUGUCUCUUUUCACUUCCUUCAGUACAUAAAUACAUUAUUUAAUCAAUAAGAAUUAACUGUACUAAAUCACAUAUUAUGCUGUUCUAGUUACAGCAAGCAUUCUUUAAGAAAAAUAUCCAAUACACUAAAUAGGUACUAUAGUAAUUUUUAGACAUGGUACCCAUUGAUAUGCAUUUAAACCUUUUACUGCUGUGUUAUGUUGAUAACAUAUAUAAAUAUUAGAUAAUGCUAAUGCUUCUGCUGCUGUCUUUUCUGUAAUAUUCUCUUUCAUGCUGAAUUUACUAUGACCAUUUAUAAGCAAUGCAGUUAACUACAGAUAGCAUUUCAGGACAAAAUAGAUGACUCAAACCAUUUAUUGCUUAAAAAACAGCUUACACCAUGCUAUGCUAUAAGCAGCUUUUAUGCACAUUGACAAAUGAAGAGUAAGCUUCAGCUUGCUAAGGAAAACUGUGGAAACUUUUGUAACUUUUGGUGAAAAGGAAAAUCAUUUACAAACUGUCAAAGAAUAUGAGGAAGUUGCUAUAUGACAUAGUGCUGGCACUGAUAUAAUCUAUUAUCUUGUUUUGGACACUCCUGUAAAUGUGAUUGGAUUGUUUGAAAGAAGAUUUAAAGGUUUAGAAUUUUAAAGUUUUUUGCUAUGUUUUUGUUUUGCAUUUGGAGAAAAUAUUGAAAGGAGGAUAUGCUGUUCCAUUCACCUUGAAAAAACCAUAAGUAAAUGGUGUUAUAAUAUCUCUGAAUAGCUCGGAACAAGAUUCAAGCAAAGAAUGUGAAUUUUGUUUAAUUCAUCGAUACCCUACAGGAACAACAUUUUUUUAAUCUCUAGCAAAAUGUUUAAAAAAAAAUCCUAAACACAAAGCCAAAAUAAACCUAUAAAAGCAUUUCAUGAUGAGCACAGCAAAGAUUGUUUAAAGGUGUUCACCCCAACUACUCAUUUUUUUUCUAACACUACACAGAUCACAGCUCAUUUCUCUAAAUGGAAUAGUUUUUAGGAAACCCACGUACCAAAAUCGAUACUAUUCACAUUUAAUCUUGCUAAAAAACAUAUUCCCAUUCAAAAUAUGUAUAUAACCUGUGAUUUGAAUGAUUAUUCUACAUAUACAUCACGUAUUAUUUGGCCCUUUAUGGGCUAAUAAGUAUGCCUUAAGAAUCAGAACUUUUUUCCCCAACUAUGCUCAUGUGGCCAUUUACAGCACUUAGAAUAAAAAGAGAUUUUAAAAUAUUCACUGAAAGUUUUAUUGGAAAGAGAAUUGAGAUAUAUGAUUGAGAUAUUUGGUGAAAUUGAAGGAGAAAUGUUAAGUGGGUCUUUAAAAUAUGUUCUAAAUGAAGAUCAUAUUGAGGAUUCUUUUUUUCUUUUUUCUUUUUUUUCUUCUUUUUAUUAUUUUUUAAAUAUUCUAGUUUUAGUCAGUCAGUGAGGAAAGAUUGGGCCAUGAGGUAUCUUAAGAGAUCAAAGAAAGAAAUGGUAUUAAUUAUAUAAUAUUUAAAGACAAACUAUAUAUUUUGGUGUUUAAGGUAGUGACUCACAGAACUAAGUAAUUGGCCAACAUUAAAUAUAUUUUCAAUACAGAAGGGUUCAAAAUAUUGCAUUAUCAACUCUUUUGGGAAAUGUAUCAAAAGCAUUUUUUUUUUAAAGUUCUGUUUUACUCCACUUUUUGUUUGGUUGUAUUUUUAUGUUUUUAUUUUCAGGUAGAUUAAUAAAUCUGGCAGCUGAUUUCUGCAAGAUUCUUGUGUUUUUAAUUUCUAAUUGAGCUGACUACUCAAAUGUAGAAAUCAAUUAAUGAUAUAAGAUCUUCCUUCCACUUGAUAAAAGUAACUAAAACAAAUAUCUCUACUGUUGUUUGCUGCCUCCUGAUUAUGACAUGCUAAUAUAGUCCACAGAUUAAUUAAUUACAACAAAAAUAUUGUUUUCCAAAUAAGCAAUGAAAAAUGAUUUUUCUUAAGUUGUGCUUAUAAAAAUUGCUUCAAAGUAAGAAUCCACAAGCUGACAGUGCAGAACAUUUUUUUCAAAUCACAGAAGAAUCUUAGAGGUCUAGUUUCCCAGAGAUGACGUAAUGAAUUACCACAACUUUAGUAACUUAAAACUACACAAAUUUAUCCUCUUACAGUUGUGUGGUUCAGAAGCCCAAAAUGAGCCUUAAGGGACUAAAACUAGAAUGUUCAUAGGCUGGUUCCUUCUGGAAGCUCCAGGGGAGAACCUGACCCUUCUUCCAUUUCAGGAGGCUGCUGUACUCCUUGUCUUCGGCUACAUCACUUCAGUCUCUGCUUCCAUGAUCACAUUUCCUUUUCUAAUGUAGUCAAAUCUCCCUCUGCCUGGCUCUUAUAAGGACACUUGUGAUUACAUUUAGGGUAUACCCAAAUAACCCAGGAUAAUCUCCCCAUCUGAAAAUUCUUAACUACCACAUGUACCACAUUCCUUUUGCCAGAUAAUUUAUUCACAGGUUCUAGGGAUUAGGACGUGAAUGAAGACACUGUGAGCAAAAAUGCUAAAUAAUUUACCCAUGGACAAAAAAAAAUUCAGUUGAGGGAGCUAGAAUUAGAACAUUUUUAUUUACCAUUUGGAUAUACUUUAUUUAUUGUGCCUAAAUAGUUUUGAAAUCUUACGUAUUAAAGUUCACCUAUUCUACUAAAGCAUCUGGUAGUCACAUAAAGCUUUUAGGUUAUUUAAAUCCCACCAACCAUAAAUGCUAUGUAAUGAGAAAAGGGGGGAAAAAAAAGAUGUGAUAAUAAUAGUAAUAGCACAGUUGAUUCUGUUGUCUAAGCCAAAUAUUUUUUCUAAUAAAUUUCUUUUGCUGUUA